CGGUAGGCCAGAUCCUUUCGUGCCAGAUGUUGCCGGAAGGCACACUGGAUGAUAAUGGCGGCUUUGUCCUCAGCGGUUGGGGCUGGAGUGAGGAGAGCAGAGAUUUUGGACCCCAGUCCUCCUUCCUAGCCACCACCCAUGCAGCUUCUGGGGCCAUAUAGAGGACCUGAAUGGUUCUCAGAAAGCAUGAAGGCUGGAUGCAGGGACCAUGUCUGUCUCCCAACACUCAGGAGGACCUAUGGAGUCCAGGAGUUUGAAACCGGCCAGGGCUAUGUGGUAGACAGUGUCUCAACAGUGAUAAAAAUUCCUAAACAGCUGAGUCAGAAUAAUGCUCCCUCAGUAGAACCAGGCAGGGAAGGAGAGCCGGCCAGGCUUGAACAGGAAGUCCACAUCCCCUGGGGCCUGAAAAUCGCAAGCAAUCUGCAGCUGGAAAGAUACUGUCUGGGAGAAGUUGUAGGAAGCCUCCAGGAAAGAACAUCAAAACUGACACUGGUCCUCGGGGCUCACCCACCAGAGCCAGAGGCUCAACGCAUCCUCGAAGCCUGGUGGUUGCAGCUAAGCCAUAAACAGCCCCCAAAGGGGAGGGUCUCAAGUGGUCUCAGUCCACAGCCCAGGACACUCAGAAGAGGCUGUGAGUCCAGAACGUGGGCCUAUAUAACCACACAUUCAGGCCAUUUUGCAGAAGUCUACCUGCUGCUGGCCUGGCACAGUGGCUUCCAGGAGCGGGGGAUGGGGAAGACACCAUGCAGUUCCUCCUGUCACUGGGCUGGAACUACAUGGGUUUUGGGGAUUGAACUCAGGUUCAAUGUCUGUGCCGCAAGCCAUUUGCUGAAUGCACCAUCUCCUGGUCCCCAGAAAGGAAUCUUUUGAUUCAGCCUUUGAUCUGUCCCGGCAGAUUUCCAAUCAGCUGCAGACUGCAAACUGCUCCCGAACUGUCUGCAACGUGCCAGGCCCAGGUCAUCUCCUCACUCCAGGCAUUGACCAGCAUUCCAGCCUUCCUGUCCCCCCCCCCCCACCAUCACUCUCUAAUUUCAGCUUAGAAACAGUUAAAGAAGAGAUUACUUGGCACUUUAUCAUCAACAAAAAGGCUGGAAUGUCGAGUCCAAAAAUGGCUAAUUGUGGAGCCUAUAAGAUACUAAAGCACGUGCUGGCCUCCAGCUCUCUCAGCAUCUCAGAGUCCAUGUUGGCAUCUUGGUUCCUCUCACUCCGCCCCACCAUCCACAGAACUGCUCCAGCUCCUAGGCUUCCCUUCCCCCAGCUCCUCAUUCCUAUAUACGCUGCCAUUUCAGCUAUGUGUUCUCGGCCCCCUCUCUCUUGGUCGUCUCUUCUCUUCCUCUCUCACUCUCCUGGUCUCUCUCCCUUCUCACUGCCCAGUUCACUCUGCAGGCCAUGUUGAGUGUACACUUUCUCUCUCUGCUCUGCGGUCUGUCUACACAUUCCCGAUGCCGUUACAAUAAAAAACCUUCCCCUCAACCAUACCUUGGAGCAGUCAUGCCCUCACUUUAUAUACACUACCAUCCCUUUUAGAAUGGAAAUGUACAGUCUAUGCCCUUGUAUGAUGGAAGUAUGUAAUUUGCUUUUAUAUUUUACAGGAGUUACAAUUAAGAGAUUGCCUUGAGUCUCAGAAGAGACUUUGGACCUUUUUUUGAUGUUGUUGUCUUUCUGUGUAGUUCUGGCUGUCCUGGAGCUCACUAUGUAGACCAGGCUGGCUUCGAACUCACAGGGAUCUGCCUGCCUCUGCCUCCCAGGUGCUGGGAUUAAAGGCUUGUGCCCGGCUCUGAUUUUGGACUUUAAAACUACGAUAUUUUGAAAGACUAUGGGGACUUUUGAAAUCAGGCUAAAUACAUUUUUUGCAUUAUGAUAUGGUCAUGGUCCAAUGGGAGUCAAGUAUACAUUUGAAUGAGAAGAUUCUCCCACACAGACUCAUGUAUCUGAACACAUGGCUCCCAGUUGGUGGUGCUGUUUGGGGGGUUUAGGUGGUACAGCCUCGCUGGAAGACAAAACAUCACUGGGAGCAGCUUGAGAUCAGACGGCCGCGCCUGCUUCCAGUUUGCGCUCUCUGCUUCACACCUGUGGUGGAAGAUGCGGUAAGCCCUCAGCUUCCUGUUCCUGCCGCCGCCAUAUCUUCUUCUCCUUGCCGCCAUGCUUCCCUGCCACGAUGGACUCUCUCUGGAACAAAAUCCAAACGAAACUCUUCCUUCUAUAGGCUCCCUCGGUUGUGUGGUAUUUUAUCACGAUAACAGAAAAGUAAAACACCUUCUAAAAGUU